CAGCCGCCGCGGUAAUACGAAGGGUGCAAGCGUUAAUCGGAAUUACUGGGCGUAAAGCGUGCGUAGGCGGUGAGUUAAGUCUGCUGUGAAAUCCCCGGGCUCAACCUGGGAAUGGCAGUGGAUACUGGCUCGCUAGAGUGUGUCAGAGGAUGGUGGAAUUCCCGGUGUAGCGGUGAAAUGCGUAGAGAUCGGGAGGAACAUCAGUGGCGAAGGCGGCCGUCUGGGACAACACUGACGCUGAGGCACGAAAGCGUGGGGAGCAAACAGGAUUAGAUACCCCUGUAGUCCCUGUCUCUUAUAC
rnacentral:rRNA from 1 species